GUUGAGGUCUAUACUGAUGGGGCUUUCUCUGUAGACUUACAUGGUUGGAAAUGCCUCACAGAGUAACUAUGUGGUUUCCUUUACUCACAGGACUAGAUCUGUGGAGAAGAAGUACAAGACAGAG
rnacentral:snoRNA from 1 species